GUAGUAAAAUGAUUCAAAUGAAAUAAAAUAAACGAUUUUAAUCCUCUUUAUUAUUUUUCAUUGUACUUCUGUGCAUAUGUACGAAAAUAGCAACAACGAUGUCAGGAACGACAAGAAAAGAGGAGACAGGAUGUACAGUGUGAAUUGAAAAGUAACAUACAGAACUUUUGACACAAAAUUACACAAACAUAAUGAAUGAGAUUUUCGGGCACUUAUGAAUGAAGUUUAUUUACAUAAUUUGUGGGCUGCAUAAGAUGAGAUCUUCUUCCUUUAAUUCUUUAAAAUUGUGUCUCUCUAAAACUGUCGAAAUUUAACACUCAUCAAAAAUAUUUGCAAUGGUCGUCCCAAAUCUAUUAUUAUUAAUACAUAUUAUUAUCAAAUUGAACCAAUCAGAG